rnacentral:rRNA from 1 species
UACGAAGGGGGCUAGCGUUGCUCGGAAUUACUGGGCGUAAAGGGCGCGUAGGCGGCUCUGUUAGUCAGGCGUGAAAGUCCUGGGCUCAACCUGGGAACUGCGCUUGAUACGGCAGGGCUAGAGGAUGGAAGAGGGUCGCGGAAUUCCCAGUGUAGAGGUGAAAUUCGUAGAUAUUGGGAAGAACACCGGUGGCGAAGGCGGCGACCUGGUCCAUUACUGACGCUGA